rnacentral:tRNA from 1 species
UCCCUGGUGGCUCAAACAGUAAAGAAUCUGCUUGCAAUGCAGGGAACCCAGGUUCAAUACCUGGGUUGGGAA